rnacentral:rRNA from 1 species
GAUGAACGCUGGCGGCGUGCUUAACACAUGCAAGUCGAACGAGAAGUGAAGACGGAAACCUUCGGGCGGAAGGCUUUAUUUCGAGUGGCGGACGGGUGAGUAACGCGUGGGUAACCUGCCUCAUACAGGGGGAUAACAGUUGGAAACGACUGUUAAUACCGCAUAAGACCACAGCACCGCAUGGUGCGGGGGUAAAAACUCCGGUGGUAUGAGAUGGACCCGCGUUCGAUUAGCCAGUUGGCGGGGUAACGGCCCACCAAAGCGACGAUCGAUAGCCGAUCUGAGAGGAUGACCGGCCACAUUGGGAAUGAGACACGGCCCAAACUCCUACGGGAGGCAGCAGUGGGGAAUAUUGCACAAUGGGGGAAACCCUGAUGCAGCGACGCCGCGUGAGUGAAGAAGUAUUUCGGUAUGUAAAGCUCUAUCAGCAGGGAAGAAAAUGACGGUACCUGAGUAAGAAGCCCCGGCUAACUACGUG